AUGCUUAACCAAAAAGGAGAACGAACAAAACGUGGAAAAAUAAAAGCGUAUUAUAAUGAAGUAGAAACAGGUAACUCUAAAUAUCUUAAGUAUGAACCUUGUAACACUGUGACUGAGUUAAAUAACAUCAGUAACACUAGUAAUAGUAGCAGUAGUAGUAAAAGUAGUAGUAGUAGUAGUAGUAGUAAUGACGAUGAUGAUAAAUCAAAUAGACUUACUAGUACAGAUAACCAGAUGUUACAACAACAAGGAAAAGUAACAGAAGAAACAAGAAAGAGUGUCAAACUAGAUCAUAAUGUAACGACUAACUCUAAUAUGACUGUAAAUGAAUAUAAUAUAUCACAGGAUUUUAUAUUACCUUAUUACUCUGAUAUUUCGUCUUACUCUUCUGCUAAUUCUGAACUAACAUAUACAUCUGAAUCGACUGACUUUUAUUUGGAUAAUGUCGAAGAGUCUUUAGAAUCAGUUUACACAAAUGAAAUAUGUGAUCAUAAAAUGAGAGUAAAAAAAGAGAGAAAAAAAGUUAAGCAACAACAAAAGAACAGUAAGAGAAACAACAAAGUAAAACGAAAAAAUAAAAAAAGUGUGACCGAAUUAAAACACAAUGAAAAUACAGAAUAUAAAGACAUUAAUACAAAAUUAGUUCAUAAAAAUGAAGAAAACACUUUAAUGAAUACGAUGGUUCAGACCAAACAAACAAAAAAUUUAAAUGUUUCAUCUGUUAAUGUAAUUAAUAACAGUCUUAUUAAUGAUGUUAAUAAUCAACAAAUAAUAAAAAAUGAUAUGCCAUUAAACGAUUAUCACCCUGUUUAUAAUAACAACAUAAUCAUUAGUACUAGCAAUUUAAACCAACAAAACAAUGACAAUUCAAUUGGAUUAACAUAUGACUAUAAUAAUGGCACACAAAAUAACAAAAUAAAUCCUAACAAUGUAGGUUUUAUACAUGGUCAUCAUGAUUGCGAACAGAGUAGUCAGAUAUUUAACUCUCCUGAAAAAAAUAUUAUUAUGUAUAAUAAAGACAAUACAACGCAAGGAGUUUUAAACCAACAACAACAGCAAGACAGUAUUAAUAACUACAAUGGUGAAAAUACAUGUUUUGCCAUUCAAGCUAAUCAAACAGAUAUGAAUCAUUGUCAUAUAAAUGAAACCGUAAAUAAGUUUAGUAAAAACGUCGGAACAGUUGUGAAUGAAAAUAAUAGUGAGAAGGGUGUACAAGAUGUUAUACCAAAUGAGUCUGCAGACAUUAAACCAAGUGUAAAUAUUCUAGUUGAUUUAAGUGUUGGUAAAACAAUAAAUGUUACACAGAAUAUAACUAAAGACAUAAACAAUGUCACCAAUGGGCAUAAUAGAAUGCUUAAUAAUUGUACAAAUAAUAAUAUGAGACAUGAUCAUGAUUAUGUAUUUGAUGACAGAGAAAAAAGUAAAACACACGAAGAAUACCAAGAUGUAAGUACGACAGACAAUGUAAAAAAUAUAUGUAGUAAUGACAUGCUGUUAAAAACAAAUAGAUCGACCAUGAAAAAUAAAAAUAGCAACAGUGGUGAUAGUGGUGAUAGUGGUGAUAGUGGCGAAAGUGGCAACAGUGGCAACAGUGGCAACAGCGACGACAGUGGCGAUAGUAAAAAAAACAAAAAGUCGCAUAAAAACAUAAGAAAUAUCAGAAGCAAUAAAAAAACACAAAUUAUUACCAAAUGGGGAGGAAUAGCAGAUAAAAAAGAACCAGUAUUACCACUUUAUAUCAUAUGUGAUUAUUCAGAUUUUGUAGAAAGUAAAAUAUAUGUUAAUAAAUUUCGAUUUAAAUUGUAUGAUCCGCUUUAUCAAUUAGGUAAAUAUAGGAAUUGUGCUGGUGUCAUUUUAAAAAAUAACUUAAAAAAAAACUCACUUAAUUAUAUAGAUUCUUAUUUUCUGUUUUUAAAAAAAGAACUAUAUCAAAUAGACUUAGAUAUAGAUAUCAGAUGUCCAUGUAAACUAAUUUUUAAACAUGUAUGUUAUAAAAUGAACAUAGACCCAACACAUGUAUUGAUAUAUCCUUAUCCUCCAUUAAAUAUGUCAGUUAAUUUUAGUCCAUAUAAUAUAGACUCAUUUACAUAUGCCUCUAAUGCUAAUACAGGUACAAAUAUCAACAACAUGAAUAACAAUAACAAUAAUAUAAACAAAGGUGAUAAUCAUUAUAUUGCUAAUAAUAGUGAUGACCCAGAUAAUUCAGACAAUCAACUCAUAGAUAAUAAAUAUGGUAAUAAUGCAUAUUUAAAAUUAGAAACCUUUGAGCAAUUAAUAAAAAAACAUGCUAUGCUAAUAGAACAUAAUUCUAUAACAGAACAAAAAACUUUUUGUUUGUCAUUAUUACCAUUUCAUUAUAAAUACUAUAAUAGAUUAUAUCCACCUGAAAAACCCAAAUAUUUUUACUAUAUAAUUCAGUUAUUUAAUUCACAUGUUCAGUCAGUAGCUUCAUUUAGUGGUCAUAUUCAAUUACAAAAAAAAAUGAACAACAAGGUAAAAUCGAGUAUUCUUAAGUAUGGUCAAAAAAGAGAUAAUCAAAGUAGUGGCACAAGUAACAGCAACACUCAUAGUAGUGGUAGUGACAGCAGUAAAGAAAGUAACGGCAGCAACAGUACCAACAGUACAGACAGUAGCUAUAGUAGCAGUGAUAGUGAUUCUCUUACCAGUUCAGACUCAUCUGAUAGUAUAGCAAUCCAUAAAAAUCAUAUAAAAAAUAAGUACACAACAGCACAAGAUCUGAUUGAUAAAAUAAAAUUAGAAAUGAAUCCAUAUUUAAAAAAAAGAGGUAUAAAUGCAAAACAAAAAUUUAGGUUGUUAUUUACAUACGGACCUAAAAUCAAAUAUAUAGAUACGGAUGAACAACUAAUAGCAAUGGACUUUGUCAAAACGAAUCAAAUAAAAAACGCUUACAUCACUCCUUUAAGAAUGGAACCAGAUUUUACUGAUGAAGAAAAGCAGAAAAUAGAAACUGAUAAGUUGAAGAUAAUCCACGUUUUUAAUCAAACACCAUCGAAGGAUGUUUUCGGUUACAGUUUUGACGUUCUCGUAGAGGUAAGGAACAUACCAAAUGCGUACCUACAUGCGUAUAUACAUACAUGCGCACUUACCUGUGUACAUACAUACAUACAUACAUACUUACGUACGUAUAUACAUAUUACUUAUUUUAUUUUAUUUUAUUUUAUUUUUUUUUGUACCAUAUAGCCAAAUGAUAAUAUGUUAGACAUUAAAAAUAAAAUAAGAAAAAGGACACUACUACCUAAGUAC
rnacentral:lncRNA from 1 species